rnacentral:misc_RNA from 1 species
CCAAUAGCUAGAAAACGACGCGGAUUUCGCCUAAAUUUCAAAACCCUAACAAAUUUUAGGGUUUUCUGAUUCUCACUUCAAUAUCUCCAAUGGAAACCGAAGAAGAAGACAAUUCAAGGCACUCUACAAUAACAUCAAUGACGGCAACCGCUACAGAGCCUCAAACUGUAAACAACCUCUUAUGUACCCAACAUCAAUGUACGCCCCACCCUGUGACCGAGUUGCCCGACCAACAAUUCGGUGGUGGCGGUGGGGAUGGCGAGUCACGACCACCACCUGAAACAGAAACUAAAGUUCCCGACGACGGCGAAUGUCAGGAUGUGGUUGCGGGGGAGAAUACGUCCGCGGUAGAGUUUAGCGAGUUGGAUGUUGUUGGCGGUGGUGGCGAGACUCAAUCUCCUCCUUCACGAUCGUUGCAACGACCGGUGGCCGAGGGAGGCGAAGGAGAGAGUGCUAAGGCCGAAGAGGAGAGUGCUGAGGUGAAAGAGGAGGGCCAGCGUGUCGAGACACCAGAAAUUGUGCCAGAGAUUCCUGGAAAAGAAGAGGAAGAUAAUGUUUUGAUUCCUGGAGAGGAACGACGUGGACAUUUGAACGAUAGUGAUUCAUCUAACGAAGAUAAGGAUAAUGGAGUGGACGUACCAGGAGUGAAUAAGGAAACAGAGACUAAAAUGGAGGUUGUUGUUAACUUAGUGGAGGACUCUGGGAAGGCAGUGGAAUUAGAUUUCACUGGUACGAUGAAGGGACUGGCAAUAGUGUAUAAGGAUAUGGAGAAGAGGGACGUGGUAGAGGAAAAAAAGGAGGAGGCUGCUGAUACCGCAGAAGAGGCAGAGAUGGCUCAUAUCUCUGAGGAAACCAAGGAGGAUGAGGAUAAGGAUAAUUAUGGGGUCGUGGAUGCUGGAGUUGACGUGCCAGGAGUG